rnacentral:tRNA from 1 species
GCCGAAGUGGUGAAAUUGGUAGACGCGCUGCGUUCAGGGCGCAGUUCUCUUUACGGGAGUGGGGGUUCGAGUCCCCCCUUCGGCACCA